AGUGAACGCUGGCGGUAGGCCUAACACAUGCAAGUCGAACGGCAGCACAGUAAGAGCUUGCUCUUACGGGUGGAGAGUGGCGGACGGGUGAGGUAUACAUCGGAAUCUACUUUUUCGUGGGGGCUAACGUAGGGAAACUUAUGCUAAUACCGCAUAUGACCUACGGGUGAAAGCAGGGGAUCUUCGGACCUUGCGCGAUUGAAUGAGCCGAUGUCGGAUUAGCUAGUUGGCGGGGUAAAGGCCCACCAAGGCGACGAUCCGUAGCUGGUCUGAGAGGAUGAUCAGCCACACUGUAACUGAGACACAUGCCAGACACCGACGGGAGGCAGCAGUGGGGAAUAUUGGACAAUGGGCGCAAGCCUGAUCCAGCCAUACCGCGUGGGUGAAGAAGGCCCUCUGGUUGUAAAGCCAUUUUGUUGGGAAAGAAAAGCAGCAGGUUAAUACCCCGCUGUUCUGACGGUACCCAAAGAAUAAGCACCGGCUAACUUCGUG
rnacentral:rRNA from 1 species